rnacentral:rRNA from 1 species
AUUGAACGCUGGCGGCAUGCUUUACACAUGCAAGUCGAACGGUAACAGGGUGCUUGCACCGCCGACGAGUGGCGAACGGGUGAGUAAUGCGUCGGAACGCACCGAGUAGUGGGGGAUAACGCAGCGAAAGCUGUGCUAAUACCGCAUACGCUCUGAGGAGGAAAGCGGGGGACCUUCGGGCCUCGCGUUAUUCGAGCGGCCGACGUCUGAUUAGCUAGUAGGUGAGGUAAGAGCUCACCUAGGCGACGAUCAGUAGCGGGUCUGAGAGGAUGAUCCGCCACACUGGGACUGAGACACGGCCCAGACUCCAACGGGAGGCAGCAGUGGGGAAUUUUGGACAAUGGGCGCAAGCCUGAUCCAGCCAUGCCGCGUGUCUGAAGAAGGCCUUCGGGUUGUAAAGGACUUUUGUCAGGGAGGAAAUCCUUAGCGCUAAUACCGUUGAGGGAUGACGGUACCUGAAGAAUAAGCACCGGCUAACUACGUGCCAGCCGCCGCCGUAA